rnacentral:rRNA from 1 species
GUGAAAUUGUUGAAAGGGAAACGAUUGAAGCCAGUCGUACCGACGGAGAAUCAACCUUUGAAGUGUUGGUUGCGGGUAUUCGAGGAGUUUAAAAGCCUUCGUGUGCUUGCAAAUCGGUGCUUCUUGGGUGCACUUCCUCGUGUGGUAGGUUAACAUCAAUUUUGGACGUUACAAAAUGACCGGGGGAAUGUAGCUUCGAUUUUUCGAAGUGUUAUAGCCCAAGGUAGAUGUGACGACCGGGAUUGAGGAUUGCAACGAAUGCCUUCGGGCUAUCCGUCUGGCCUCUGAUGGUCUCCCUGGGGUCGAAAGCUUGCUUACGGCUUCAAGGCUCGGCCGUCAAAAGGUUAGAACGCGAGUAAAUUCGUUAAGGAUGUUGACGUAAUGGCUUUAAACGAC